rnacentral:lncRNA from 1 species
AAGAAAAGCCCUUUGAAAGCUCCCUUUUUAGAGGAGGGGAGAAAGGAGAAGAAAAGGAAAAGGAAAAAAUAGAUAAUAAAUUUCAGCUAUGAAAAAAAUAGUUAAAGGGAUAAAAAGCGGAGAAGAAUGGCAUUUCAGAGGGGGUAGUGUGUCGAUGAGCAUGCCAGCAGGAAAAGAAGUUCACCCUUAGGGGACUCAGAUGAAGAGACUGAUGAAAGGGCUGUUCAUGGGGCAUGAAGAAGGAUGCCCGGUAAAAGACAGGGGGUGAUACCAUCCUGAGGGCUGAAGGAGCAAAGGAAGAAAGAAAUAGUUUCACAGGAGAGCCCAGUGCCAGUGGGGCCACAGAGGGGAAGCCACUGGAGUUGGGGGGAUAUGGCUCCAGCUAUAGAUACAGGUCUGAAGCCGAGAGGGAGCAGGGGAGGAAAGCCCCUGACCUUUCCUUGUUGCCACUCUCUGCCUUCCUGCUGGUGCCUCCCAUUAACAGAACCCAAAAGGAACCCAGAGAGUGCGGGAGGUGGGAGAAGCAGUCAGAUUUCAGAUAAUGUGAAUGCAGAGCCAAUAGGUUUUGCUGAUUGGAUGUGGGGAGUGAAGGAAAGAAAAGCACCAGGAUGACACCUGGGCUUUUGGCCCGAGCUACUGAUUGAAUAGAGUUGCCAUUAUUGAGACGGGGAUGGCUGGAGAAGAAGCAGGGUCUGGAAGUUAAGAGUAGUUUGGUUUUGGACACGUCUGGUUUGAGAUGCCUAUUAGGCAUACAAGCAGAGAUGAUUAGGAGGAAGACAGUUGUAUGAGUCUGGCACUUAGAGGAGAUAUAAAUUUGAGAUUAAUCUGCAAAUAGAUGACCAUGAGGCUGGUUAAGAUCACCUAGAAAGGGAAUGAUACAAAAGCAAAGAGAGUCAAGGGUACUGUCCCUGUGGUCUUCCAACAUUUAGAGGUCCAGGAGAUCGGACGGAGCCAACAGGAGAGAUGGGCAAGCGUCCAGCAAAGUAGGAAGAAACAGAGAGAGGAUGAACUGAACCCCAAGUGAAGAGAGUACUUCAAGGAAAAAGGAGUACUCAGCAGUAUCACGUGUUAUUGGCUAUGAGACUUGGCAGCACAGAAGGCCCUCGUGACCCUGAGGAGAUGGUUUCAUUGAAGCAGUGGGGACAAAAGCCUGAGAGCAGUGAGUUGUGAGAGAAUGGAGGUGAGGAAGUGAAGACAGCAAAUAACUGUUUCUGUUUUGAAGAAGUUUUGCAGUAAAGAAUGGCUGUAACAGAGGAGAACUCGGCUGGAGAGAAGGUUGCUAACAGGAGACACAGCACGCGUUUUUGCGCCGAUGGGAAUGAUCUCUCAAGCAGGUGAAAAGUGAUGGUGUGAAAGCAGGGGGCACAAGUUCUCGAGCAGGAGGGACGGGACGGGCUCCAGUGACUCUGUGCACCGCGGAGGGUCGUGCCCUCAGGCACAGAGACUGCUGGAGUGAUACAGCAAAGGGAAGAUGGUGUGGACACGGAGGCAGGCGGAUUUGGGGGGAGGAAGAUAAGGUAGAUCUCUCCCGAUUGCCUCUAUUUUCUCAGUCAACUAAGAAGCAGUGUCAUCAGCUGAGAGGGGAGGCCAGCAGAGAGGGUUUCAGAGGGCUGCAGGGAGAGGAGAAAAGUGAGACGGUCCCUCUUGGAGGGAGGAAAAGAUAGCUUACCAUAAACGUGUGCGAUGACUGUCUGACCGCGGUGACAACGAAUCUGACCUGAGACCCGCCAGCAGAGCAGAAUGUCUCCACCUGCUCCGCCCUCCACAGUGAGCGGCUCAGGCACAGGAUGCAGGUCAGUUAAAGACAGAGGACAAGGAGAAGAAGAGAGGAGGAGGAAGAGGAGGAGAGAGAUGAAGCAGGGGAGAGAAGAGAAAGAAAAAACGGAAAAAAAAGAAAGGAAAGUGGAAAUGGAG